GAUGAACGCUGGCGGCGUGCCUAAUACAUGCAAGUAGAACGCUGAAGGAAGGAGCUUGCUCUUUCCGGAUGAGUUGCGAACGGGUGAGUAACGCGUAGGUAACCUGCCUGGUAGCGGGGGAUAACUAUUGGAAACGAUAGCUAAUACCGCAUAACAGUAGAUGUUGCAUGAUAUCUACUUAAAAGGUGCAAUUGCACCACUACCAGAUGGACCUGCGUUGUAUUAGCUAGUUGGUGAGGUAACGGCUCACCAAGGCGACGAUACAUAGCCGACCUGAGAGGGUGAUCGGCCACACUGGGACUGAGACACGGCCCAGACUCCUACGGGAGGCAGCAGUAGGGAAUCUUCGGCAAUGGACGGAAGUCUGACCGAGCAACGCCGCGUGAGUGAAGAAGGUUUUCGGAUCGUAAAGCUCUGUUGUAAGAGAGGAACGAGUGUGAGAGUGGAAAGUUCACACUGUGACGGUAUCUUACCAGAAAGGGACGGCUAACUACGUG
rnacentral:rRNA from 1 species